rnacentral:rRNA from 1 species
GACGAACGCUGGCGGCGUGCCUAACACAUGCAAGUCGAACGGGGCAAUUUCUUCGGAGAUUGCUUAGUGGCGAACGGGUGAGUAACGCGUGAGAAACCUGCCUUUCAGUGGGGGACAACAGUUGGAAACGACUGCUAAUACCGCAUAAUGUCAUUUAGGGGCAUCCCUGGAUGACCAAAGCUUUAUGUGCUGAAAGAUGGUCUCGCGUCUGAUUAGCUAGUUGGUGAGGUAACGGCUCACCAAGGCGACGAUCAGUAGCCGGUCUGAGAGGAUGAACGGCCACAUUGGGACUGAGAUACGGCCCAGACUCCUACGGGAGGCAGCAGUGGGGAAUAUUGGGCAAUGGGGGAAACCCUGACCCAGCAACGCCGCGUGAAGGAAGAAGGCCUUCGGGUUGUAAACGUUCUUUACCUAGGGACGAAGAACGUGACGGUA